GGGGUUGUGUUGAAAGUUUUUCGGCUGGGGAUGGGCCCGCGGCCUAUCAGCUUGUUGGUGGGGUGAUGGCCUACCAAGGCGACGACGGGUAGCCGGCCUGAGAGGGCGAUCGGCCACACUGGAACUGAGACACGGUCCAGACUCCUACGGGAGGCAGCAGUGGGGAAUAUUGCGCAAUGGGCGGAAGCCUGACGCAGCGACGCCGCGUGAGGGAUGAAGGUCUUCGGAUUGUAAACCUCUUUCAGUAGGGACGAAUUUAGACGGUACCNUGCAGAAGAAGCACCGGCCAACUACGUGCCAGCAGCCGCGGUAAUACGUAGGGUGCGAGCGUUGUCCGGAAUUAUUGGGCGUAAAGAGCUCGUAGGCGGUUCGUCGCGUCGAAUGUGAAAUCCCCGGGGCUCAACUCCGGGUCUGCAUUCGAUACGGGCGGACUAGAGUUCGGUAGGGGAGACUGGAAUUCCUGGUGUAGCGGUGAAAUGCGCAGAUAUCAGGAGGAACACCGGUGGCGAAGGCGGGUCUCUGGGCCGAUACUGACGCUGAGGAGCGAAAGCGUGGGGAGCGAACAGGAUUAGAUACCCUGGUAGUCCACGCCGUAAACGGUGGGCGCUAGGUGUGGGGGACUUCCACGUCUUCUGUGCCGCAGCUAACGCAUUAAGCGCCCCGCCUGGGGAGUACGGCCGCAAGGCUAAAACUCAAAGGAAUUGACGGAAUCG
rnacentral:rRNA from 1 species